GCCACCCAGUCUGCCAUUUUUUGUUAUAGCAACCAGAGCUGACUAACACAUUCCCUGAAAGAAACAAAGACAGAAGGACUGGGGGAGAAAGAAGACCCCAGGCCAUCUUCACUUCAUGAGUCAUGCAGGAAGCCCUUAGCUACUCUGCUGCCAUCUGCCCUGUUUGAGUACAAGCCCAGCAGAGCUGCACUGCAGCCAACAUAGACAAUCUGGCAGGACUCCAAGACUUCCGGGUUAGGAUCCCAGCUUGCAACGCGUUACUGAGCAAUCCUUCAUCUUGCAUUCAUUCAGCAAAUUUUUGAUCAAUAUUCAUUCCGCAACUGUGGACCUAGUCGCAGCACUGAGCGAGGUACAUGGGGUCCCUGCUUUCUUCUUCUGCGGGAGAUGGACAAAGAACAAAUAAAUGUACAAAUGUCAAUUGGUAGAAAGUCCUAUGCUAAGAACCAAACCAGGGUGCUGUGGUGGAGUGCCUGGGGAGCUCCCUCUGGUGAAAUGUAAGCUGAGAUUGGGAGGACACAAAGAAGCCAGCAUGUGAUUAUUGGAGGAAGAGCAUUCAAGGCCAAGAGAAGAGCUAGUACAAAGGCCCUGAGGCUGGAAUGAGAGAGGACAUUAGUGGAGCAACUGACAGGAUUUGAAUAAGAUCUGGGGAUCAGACAAGAAUGAGCCAGGUCCGGCGGAGAGAGAAGAAAAGCACUGCUGCUGUGGGAUAUUCAUGCCCAAGAUAGUGUCCUUCUGCAGCUCUGGAGGCUGACAAAGAUCUGCUUCUUCGGAGCAGGCAGCAGCCACAUCAGGGAAGAACUGCACCUCUGACCCACUUGCCGGUGACCCAGUUGCAGGAGAGGAAACUGGGGCGCCAGGAGAUGGGAUGACUUAGCCCCAGGUCCCCCACGAAUGCCUGCCCCCCGACUUCCCUAUGGCAGGGUGGACACUGGGAAAUCUGAGGACACAAAGAAAUGAUAACCCAUGCCUUCCAAGUUAGUCCGGCCCCUCAGGCGUGAGUGCUCAUGCGUUUUGCCCAGACUGGGGCAAGCCUUAGAUGUUUUCAUAUUUUUCAGAAUCUCUCUUCUUGACUUGAAAUGGCACGGCCAAAAGCAUUGUUUCUCAAAGAAGCUACGGAUGUAGGACCAGUCUUGUUUGUGUUUGUUUGUUAAUUAAUUCCAAUCCGUUAUGGACAGAUACUUCUGUAAAGUACAAUAAAAAUGAUUUGCUGGAAAAAUGAAGCAGAAAAAAACACAACAUAAAACACAAGCCCAAACCUCUACGGUUAGAUUUAACAAACACACACAUACUCUGUUGACUUGCUAUAAAAGUUUCUAAACACUU
rnacentral:lncRNA from 1 species